UACGUAGGGUGCGAGCGUUAGGCGGAAUCACUGGGCUUAAAGCGUGUGUAGGCGGAAUUGUAAGUACCUUGUGAAAUCCCACGGCUCAACCGUGGAACUGCUCGGUAUACUGCUUUUCUUGAGCCACUUAGGGGCUACCGGAACAAAUGGUGGAGCGGUGAAAUGCGUAGAUAUCAUUUGGAACGCCAAUGGUGAAAACAGGUAGCUGGGAGUGUGCUGACGCUGAGACACGAAAGCCAGGGGAGCGAACGGG
rnacentral:rRNA from 1 species